GGCAGGGUGGGAGGGGAAGCCAGGCGGGUGAGCCUGUGCCCCUGCUGCGCCUGCCAGGAUCCGCGGCUGGAGCCUGGGGCUCUGGCAGCUCCCGCUUGUCCACAGGCUCAGAGCAGGCAGCAAAAACCACACUCAAGGAUCUCCUAAACCCUCGAGAAACUCUGUGCUCACCUCCCGACUUCCUUCUAGAAACAAGGGUAUUGCUUGGACACCACGCAUCACCACGUGUGCCAGAGCCAGUCCUGAGCCUGGAGGAAGAUAAACAUUGCUGGUCACGGUCCUCCUUACAGACGGACUCUGUGCAAUGAGAUGGAUGCUGAUGCAAUGGCUGGUGCUACAGAAGCAACCUGCAGCAAAGAGUCUACUUUAUGGGUGAAACUGGAUGAGAAAGGUGGCAACGAGAGACCGAUUCCAAAACCAAUGGUGAUGACGUUUCUCUGCGGGGUGGACAUUCGGCCUCGUGGUUAAGACACUGGUGGAGACCCCUGUGUCCCACAUCAGAGUGACUGAGGUCUGACGCCCACGUCUGCCAGUGCUGACCCCGCGGGCAGCAGCGGCAGCUCCAGGACCGGCUUUCUGGAGCCCACGUGCAAGACCCGGCUUGAAUUCCUGCCUGGUGCUGUGGGCCUCUGGGCCGUGGACGCCCUCUGUCUGCCUCUGUCUCUCAGAUGAAAUAAACCAAAAGGUUUCCGCUGCUGGCUCUGGACUGCACGGAGCAGACGAGAGGGGAGAGAAAGCUUUGAUGAGCCCCUCCUGUUCCGCUGUCAGCAAUACAGGAGGUAUUUUAUAAGGCUUGUGUUUAUUUACUUGGGAGAUAGGCAGACAGACAGAGUCCCCAUCUACCAGUUCACUCCCGAGAGCCUGCAACAGUGAGUCUGGGCUGCACGGAAGCCAAGGGCUGGGAACUCAUCCAGGUCUCCCACGAGGACAGCAGUGACCCAGCGACCAGAGCGUCACCUGCUGGCCCCGGGGUGCAGGUCAGCAGGCAGCUGGAGCCGGGAGUGGACCUGGGACUCCAGGCGCCUGCACGCAGGGUGCUGGUGCCUCGCCCGCACCCUCACCACGGCCAAAGGCCCACGCACAAGCGUCUUCAGAUAAGAGGACAAGGGCACGGGGAGCGCGUGCCCGGCUGGUGGCCACUGCUCCCCAUCCCCGUGCGGGGACUCCCGGGAGUCCUUGGAAGAACAGCCUGUUCCUCUGUGCGGCGGUGGAAGGGCGGGUUUCUCUGCGCAGCGGGCACAGGAGGCAGCGCGAGGCCCAUGCUGCACUGUCCAGCGCACGGAGUGGAAUCCGGCCGGGCAGCAAGUAAGGCUCAGAAACUGACCACUCCCACGCGGCUCUAGAUUGCAAGUCAACGCUCUCUGCUCUGAUUUCAUGGGCUAAUGUGUGCAGGAGGAAAACAUCUGUCUUUGACCCUUGAAAAAUUUUACAAAAAAUCAAAUGCUACUCUUAAGAAGCAAAGCCUUCGUGUCAUAUUUUCCAAAAAAAAUGGAUAAAAUGAUUAAUCAUCAUUAGAAGUUCUGUAUAUUCUUGCUUAAAUGUUCAUCUUUUUCCAGCCGCGAGAUAAUGCAAAAGUGUUAGGUCACAGAAGUGAUAGACAGCUGCCCAUUAAAUAGACGCAUAGUCACCCCCGGUCGUCUGUUAGGGUGAAAAGUCAGCUGCCUCUUUUCUCUUUCAGA